GAGCAGAAGCUGCUCUUGGUGAAUUCACUUUAUGUUGAAUCACACAAAGGCAGCUUUUGUUUGAG
rnacentral:miRNA from 1 species